UACGGAGGAUCCAAGCGUUAUCCGGAUUUAUUGGGUUUAAAGGGUGCGUAGGCGGAUUGAUAAGUUAGAGGUGAAAUGUCCGAGCUCAACUCGGGAACUGCCUCUAAUACUGUUGAUCUAGAGAGUAGAUGCGGUAGGCGGAAUGUAUGGUGUAGCGGUGAAAUGCUUAGAGAUCAUACAGAACACCGAUUGCGAAGGCAGCUUACUAAUCUAUAUCUGACGUUGAGGCACGAAAGCGUGGGGAGCAAACAGG
rnacentral:rRNA from 1 species